GCAAUACUAACAAAAAAAAUAAAAAUCGUUCAGCGACAAAAGAAAAGUUAAGUUCGGGGUUUUUAUUCGUGGUUUUUAAUUUGUGGUUCCAGUUGUGGUUUUUUCUUUGUGAAUUAAUUUUCACAAGAGGUAAUACUUAAUCCUUUUUAUAUAGUUUAAUGUCAUGAUUAUACAAGCAUUGGUUACAAUUUAUUGAAAUUGUUAAAUUUUAUAUAUUUUUAAACCAUUAAUAUUCGUUGAUGUUAUAAUAUGAAGAAUGUUCAAAUCUUUCAUAUCAACUUUAUGUUUAGAUAUUUUAUAUCAUUAGACUUAGUGCGAAAUUGUUAUAGCAAACCUUAUUUUAUUUCAGGUUUAAACAACCCAUGAUUUAUUUCAUGUUUAAGUAAAAUUAUUGUCUACGUUUAUUCUUGCUUUUAUAUUUUGAUUCGCUUACGAUGAUACAUGCAUUUAUGGCUUAACAAACUGAAAUGAUGAGAAUAAUUAAUAACAAAUAUUUAUUAUGUAAGAUAUUAAUUUUAAUUAGUAGGUUUUUCUUUCCAUUUUAAUAACUAAAAUAAAGAAAAAUAAAAAAAUUUAGGUGUCCAUAAUUCCUAACAUAUUUAUACUAAUGUAACAUGUGUAAAAUUUGUAUGGGAAGAAAUAUUAUUUUAAUUUAUUUUUAUUUGUGUUCUUAUUGAAUCAAAACAUAAUUUUUUCAUUAUAUUAAUUUUGUUAAAAAUAAAAGAAUAACAAAGAAGAGAAGAAAAAAAAGGGGAAGGGGGGGGCGGGGGAACCACACACGCCCUUGCCCAAACCCUCCCCCACCUCACCCAAACCAAUAUCUCUACUAUCUUAUUUUUGAUAUUUAAUAGAAUAAAAUUAAAUUUUAAAUAAUCAAGAAAUAACUAAAUAGAAAAAUCUAUUAUAAUUCAAAAUCUCAUAACAAUUUCAGUUUUAAAAGAAAGUUACACAUAUUCUUCAAUGAUUCUGUAUUUUCACAAAAUAUGCCUAAGAGUUAGAAAGUUUUCCCUAACUUAAAAUUUUUGAAAAUAUUUUUUCUUUAUAUGAAAAACACCAAAAAAGACCCGCUUAUUUCAUAUUUAAAGCUUCAUAAAUUACGUAUAUCUUAUUCUCAUUUCGAUAAGAUAUAUAGAUAAAUCUUUAAUUUUUGUGACUUUAAAAAGUUAAAUGGUUGCUAAAAAGUGAGAAAUAUUUUUUUGAAGUAAGACUAUCAAUUUGAAAUGAAAAGUAUUGCUACAUUAUAGGUUUUACACUUGCUUAAUUUUACUUUAACAAUAGAGUAUCAAUUAUAAAUAAAUAGUGGAAGUGUAAUUGUUUUUAUAUUUGAUUUUUCUAGUAUCUUAUAAGGUGGACCCCAUGACAAUUUGCAUUACUGGUUUUCAGUCAUCGAUUUUGAUGGUUCUUUUUUUUUUAUCUUCCAAGACAAUUAAUUAAUUUUAAAAGGAAAAAAUUAAAAGAAUCAAAAUAGGAAACAUAAAAAAAAACUUUCUUUUCAGGUGGUUCAAUCACACUUCUACAAAAAAGAGAAAAAUAUCUUCCUUUUCUUCUUCUUUAUCUUCUUCAUCUUCCUUUCCUUUCUCAUCUCCCACGUUCAACUUUAAAACAAAUAUAUAGAGAAAAAUGAUAACAAAAAUUGAAAAGAAAUCAACAAGAAAGGUCUUUUCUUUGUAUUUCAUAUUCUUUAACCCUAUAUUCACAUAAUCACUGGUUGAUCUUUAAUGAAUAUGUAGAUCUUACUUUUAUUGGCUUUGUUUUAUUAUCAUUUUUCACACUCUGUGGUUCAGUAAUUGACCGGAGACUAUACCAUAUAAGGCCUAAUCACAACUUAGUCUUCUUUUUUAUUUUUUCUUUAUUUAGGAGAUCAAUUGUUAAAGAUAUGAACUUGGUACUAUUUUUAUGAUUUUAUGUGGAGUUUUUAUGUUCUUUUGUUCAUUUUGCACUUAUAAUUUUACUGAAUUGCAGUUUUUACAUUAUGUUUUAAUAGUUAACAGUUUCAUGAAUGAUGAAGUUUAUGUUGCCAUAUAGAAUAGUUUGUGAUGAUAUACUUCAUAAACUUUCACUUAUGUUAAAUUUGUAAUGAUAAAAUUUAUAUUGUAAAUUAAAAAUUACUUAUAAAAUUGGGCAUUACAACAUAUGAAAGACAAAUUGUGUUACAUAUUUUACUUUUGACUCCAAUAUGAAUAUCUCAAUUUAAAUCUUUGUUUUAUUUUCUCUUUCUUUUUACAGGUAUAAAAGGUGAGAAUUGAAGCAAGAUUGAUUGCAAGCUAUGUGUCACCACAUUAUUGAUACUUUGGAAGGAAUUUUUACUUAUAUGUCUUUGUUUAGGAAUAAUUUUUGAUAUAUUUUAGUUAGAUUUUUU
rnacentral:lncRNA from 1 species